GAACGCACCUUGCGCCCUUUGGCUAUUCUGAAGGGCAUGCCUGUUUGAGUAUCAUGAACACCUCAACUCUCAUGGUCCGCCAUGAUGAGCUUGGACUAUGGGGGUCUUGCCGGCCUAGCGUCGGCUCCUCUCAAACGAAUCAGCUUGCCAGUGUUUGGCGGCAUCACAGGUGUGAUAACUAUCUGCGCUUGUGGUUUCCCGCUAGAUAACCUUCAGCGAUGGAGGUUCGCUGGAGCUCAUAAAUGUCUCUCCUCAGCGAGGACAGCACUUUGACUGUUUGAUCUCAAAUCAGGUAGGACUACCCGCUGAACUUAAG
rnacentral:misc_RNA from 1 species